UAAGUUGAUUUAUUCUAGACA
rnacentral:piRNA from 1 species